UCCCUCACUCCUCUCAUAGACCACCCCAAGAAACCCUAACCCGUUGUCUCCUUUUCCACCGGUUGUCGCCGGCGGCGCCGAUCCCAAACCACUCCAAAUUGACACCACAGAACCACCAUGACACCCUUGUAUCAAAUCCCCACUCAGUUUCCCUCGAAUCUUGCUAGAGCGUCUCGAAUCUUAAAUCUAAGGUUCGAGCCCCAGAAGUCAAAGCCAAAUCUGCACAUGCAAGGGUGUUUCUCCAGUUUUCAUGAGUGUUCAAGGCCGGUUUUACCAUGAAAUAACGUUAUUCGACAAAGAACAAGCAGUUGACAUUAUUUGGGGGGUUAAAUCAAAAUAUCAGUCCCGAGUUCAAGCUUUGGUAGGUGAGUUUUUCCUUUAUUAUUCGUUUCUGGCAUUAUUUCAGUUUCGUUCCUCUUCAUCUUUCCCUCUUCUUCUUUGGUCUAUUCAACUGAAACUUGACCAAACUUUCUGGGCGAGAAUAAAUAAUGUUCUUUUGUUCCCUUCCAGUUUUAUUUUUCAAAAUCUUGUCCCCUGAUUUUUCUUGGUAUGUUUAGUCUUUCUUGGUAACAGCAUGACUGAAGUUCUGAUUUUGUCUCUCGUUUAGUCGCUUAGUUAAUUUAAUUAGGUUUAUUUUGAUAACUUAGUCAAUUUCCUGCUUACUUGUGUUUAAUAAUCAUUCAAUUAGUGUAAGUUUGGUUUCAAAAUCAUUUAAGUGUCUGCCCUCAGUUUGUUGACUGAUUCGAUUUGGCUCAUUUUGUUAUUUGGGCUUUGAAGCCAAAUCAGAAUUCCCCAAGGGUUGAUUUAGGCCAUUGGGUCAGCAUUGAGCCCACGUUUGGCUUAACUACUGAGUCAAUUCAACCCAUGACCUAUAUCUGUCUGAUUUCAUGGGUAAUAACAUUGUGCUUAAGGGGUAAAAUAGGAAUUGUAGGUAAGGGAAUCAUUUGUAACAGCCUAAGAAAACUUCUAGGAAGCUGGGGUGGGGGCUAAUUUGAAAAUCUGAUUUUUAGACUAAGGUUUCCUGAGCAAAAAUGAAAAUGUAAAAAGGGUCUAAUUGCAAAUCUGAUUUUCUGUAAGCUACCCUACUUCCUUGUCUAUAAAGGCAUGGUUUUCUUGCCUUUCAAGGCCGACCCAAGAGAAAUGAAGAGAUAAAAAAAUCUGAAAAAUCAGAAACAGCUGAGUUAAGAAAUACUUGAAGAUUUUGGCAUUUUGGGUAAAAAUUGGUUUAAUCCUGCAGUUUAAUCCUUCAAUUUUGAAACCUUCAAAGUGGUUGAUUUAUUCUUGAUUUAAAAGAUGAUUUGAGGGUUGCUUGACUCUUGUUCCAUUGCUGAAUUUCUGGGCUGAUCCUGCUGUUCAUUUCCUCUUGUUGAAUCUCUGCUGUUGUUUCUUCUUAGCCUCUAACUAAGUUUGCUGGUCUAUAUUGUUGUAUUCAGGUACAUGUUCUUUAAUUCUACCUAAUGUAAAGCCUGAUUCGAGUUUGAUAUGGAAAUCUGGAGCUUUGGAGCAUAGCGUCAACCUAUUCCUUUUGAUGUAGUUUAGUUUCAUUCUUAUUUUAAAUCAUGAGUUAUAUGGUGCAUGUUUUUUGCUGGUUGGUGACAGUAUACCUUAAGGGUCGAACUCGGAUUGGAAUUAGCAAGAGACUCAAUUUUCUGUUAAAUGUUUCAUAAUUAAAUGUUGGUGUUGUAUAACUGAACCUUUAUCAUGGUGUUUGAUUUGAGCCAUCAUGAAAGCUUGAUUAACAGUCUGCCUAGAUAAGUCAAUAGUUGAAUUUUUGCAUUCAACCACGAUUAGUAGCUUGCUUAGUCAGAUCUUGGACUCUUUUGCUUUGAGUCUUGGUCGAAGUUGUUGUCAGCAUGUUUAUAAGGCAUACGUAACUCUUUACCACAUGGAGGUUUCCUAAAGUUAACAACAUGUUUGAAUCUAUGAUCUCGUAGGUUUUUUGCUUGGGAUUUUAAGUUAUUAAACAUGUUACUUAAGAUUAUGCUGGUGUAAUGUCAAUUUCCCAG
rnacentral:lncRNA from 1 species